rnacentral:lncRNA from 1 species
UGCUCUCAGCAGGAAAAGUGCAGGUAUCUUAGGCCAUUUGAUGGUUUCAAAAGGCAGGCAAAUUAGGGCCACACAACAGGUUCAACUCCAGGACUUGAGGAGAGUCACAUGUUUAGGCCGCCUGACAGUCCAGCCCGAGUUAAUCCAGAGAAUAAGGGAAGCCCAGUCAGUCGACCCGCCCUGGUAGCCCACAAGAAGGAUGCAGAACAGGGAGUGAGCUCAGAAUUCUGAAUCUCUGCUGAUGGAUUACUCCAUUUCCAAGAUAGGGUGUGUGUCCCAGAUGACAGUGAGUUAAAGAGAGACAUCAUGACAGAGUCCCAUAGCUUGAAGUUUGUCAUGCAUCCAGG